rnacentral:rRNA from 1 species
GUGCCAGCCGCGGCGGUAAUACGGAGGGUGCAAGCGUUAUCCGGAUUCACUGGGUUUAAAGGGAGCGCAGGUGGGUUGGUAAGUCAGAGGUGAAAUCUCCGAGCUUAACUCGGAAACUGCCUUUGAUACUAUCAGUCUUGAAUAUUGUUGAGGUUAGCGGAAUAUGUCAUGUAGCGGUGAAAUGCUUAGAUAUGACAUAGAACACCAAUUGCGAAGGCAGCUGGCUAAACAUAUAUUGACACUGAGCUCGAAAGCGUGGGAUCAAACAGGAUUAGAUACCCUGGUAGUCCACGCCCUAAACUAUGGAUACUCGACAUACGCGAUACACAGUGUGUGUCUGAGACGAAAGCAA